AACAAAGCAUAACUAAAAAUACAACAUAAACAUAAUAAAUUUAAAAAACAUCUUCACUUCACUUCAUUUACCUUCUUAUCCGAUAUGAAUAGUAUUGACAUUUAGGAACCCAAAAAUAUUAUCCGAAAAUAUUAUCCAAAUUAAUUGUUUAAGUAAAAAAAUUGUGAAAAAAAAUAAAUAAAUAAAUAGUAUUUAUCAUGACAAAGGACAACUGCUGGAAACACACAUUAUUUAAUAUGACAAGGGCAGCCACCAUUCACGUAAAUAAUAACUGCCCUA
rnacentral:lncRNA from 1 species